GGUUAAGCGACUAAGCGUACACGGUGGAUGCCCUGGCAGUCAGAGGCGAUGAAGGACGUGCUAAUCUGCGAUAAGCGUCGGUAAGGUGAUAUGAACCGUUAUAACCGGCGAUUUCCGAAUGGGGAAACCCAGUGUGUUUCGACACACUAUCAUUAACUGAAUCCAUAGGUUAAUGAGGCGAACCGGGGGAACUGAAACAUCUAAGUACCCCGAGGAAAAGAAAUCAACCGAGAUUCCCCCAGUAGCGGCGAGCGAACGGGGAGCAGCCCAGAGCCUGAAUCAGUGUGUGUGUUAGUGGAAGCGUCUGGAAAGGCGCGCGAUACAGGGUGACAGCCCCGUACACAAAAAUGCACAUUCUGUGAGCUCGAUGAGUAGGGCGGGACACGUGGUAUCCUGUCUGAAUAUGGGGGGACCAUCCUCCAAGGCUAAAUACUCCUGACUGACCGAUAGUGAACCAGUACCGUGAGGGAAAGGCGAAAAGAACCCCGGCGAGGGGAGUGAAAAAGAACCUGAAACCGUGUACGUACAAGCAGUGGGAGCACAGAGCAAUCUGUGUGACUGCGUACCUUUUGUAUAAUGGGUCAGCGACUUAUAUUCUGUAGCAAGGUUAACCGAAUAGGGGAGCCGAAGGGAAACCGAGUCUUAACUGGGCGUUAAGUUGCAGGGUAUAGACCCGAAACCCGGUGAUCUAGCCAUGGGCAGGUUGAAGGUUGGGUAACACUAACUGGAGGACCGAACCGACUAAUGUUGAAAAAUUAGCGGAUGACUUGUGGCUGGGGGUGAAAGGCCAAUCAAACCGGGAGAUAGCUGGUUCUCCCCGAAAGCUAUUUAGGUAGCGCCUCGUGAAUUCAUCUCCGGGGGUAGAGCACUGUUUCGGCAAGGGGGUCAUCCCGACUUACCAACCCGAUGCAAACUGCGAAUACCGGAGAAUGUUAUCACGGGAGACACACGGCGGGUGCUAACGUCCGUCGUGAAGAGGGAAACAACCCAGACCGCCAGCUAAGGUCCCAAAGUCAUGGUUAAGUGGGAAACGAUGUGGGAAGGCCCAGACAGCCAGGAUGUUGGCUUAGAAGCAGCCAUCAUUUAAAGAAAGCGUAAUAGCUCACUGGUCGAGUCGGCCUGCGCGGAAGAUGUAACGGGGCUAAACCAUGCACCGAAGCUGCGGCAGCGACGCUUAUGCGUUGUUGGGUAGGGGAGCGUUCUGUAAGCCUGUGAAGGUGUGCUGUGAGGCAUGCUGGAGGUAUCAGAAGUGCGAAUGCUGACAUAAGUAACGAUAAAGCGGGUGAAAAGCCCGCUCGCCGGAAGACCAAGGGUUCCUGUCCAACGUUAAUCGGGGCAGGGUGAGUCGACCCCUAAGGCGAGGCCGAAAGGCGUAGUCGAUGGGAAACAGGUUAAUAUUCCUGUACUUGGUGUUACUGCGAAGGGGGGACGGAGAAGGCUAUGUUGGCCGGGCGACGGUUGUCCCGGUUUAAGCGUGUAGGCUGUUUUUCCAGGCAAAUCCGGAAAAUCAAGGCUGAGGCGUGAUGACGAGGCACUACGGUGCUGAAGCAACAAAUGCCCUGCUUCCAGGAAAAGCCUCUAAGCAUCAGGUAACAUCAAAUCGUACCCCAAACCGACACAGGUGGUCAGGUAGAGAAUACCAAGGCGCUUGAGAGAACUCGGGUGAAGGAACUAGGCAAAAUGGUGCCGUAACUUCGGGAGAAGGCACGCUGAUAUGUAGGUGAAGUCCCUCGCGGAUGGAGCUGAAAUCAGUCGAAGAUACCAGCUGGCUGCAACUGUUUAUUAAAAACACAGCACUGUGCAAACACGAAAGUGGACGUAUACGGUGUGACGCCUGCCCGGUGCCGGAAGGUUAAUUGAUGGGGUUAGCGGUAACGCGAAGCUCUUGAUCGAAGCCCCGGUAAACGGCGGCCGUAACUAUAACGGUCCUAAGGUAGCGAAAUUCCUUGUCGGGUAAGUUCCGACCUGCACGAAUGGCGUAAUGAUGGCCAGGCUGUCUCCACCCGAGACUCAGUGAAAUUGAACUCGCUGUGAAGAUGCAGUGUACCCGCGGCAAGACGGAAAGACCCCGUGAACCUUUACUAUAGCUUGACACUGAACAUUGAGCCUUGAUG
rnacentral:rRNA from 1 species